rnacentral:rRNA from 1 species
GACGAACGCUGGCGGCGUGCCUAAUACAUGCAGGUUGAGCGCUGAAGGUUGGUACUUGUACCAACUGGAUGAGCAGCGAACGGGUGAGUAACGCGUGGGGAAUCUGCCUUUGAGUGGGGGACAACAUUUGGAAACGAAUGCUAAUACCGCAUAAAAACUUUAAACACAAGUUUUAAGUUUGAAAGAUGCAAUUGCAUCACUCAAAGAUGAUCCCGCGUUGUAUUAGCUAGUUGGUGAGGUAAAGGCUCACCAAGGCGAUGAUACAUAGCCGACCUGAGAGGGUGAUCGGCCACAUUGGGACUGAGACACGGCCCAAACUCCUACGGGAGGCAGCAGUAGGGAAUCUUCGGCAAUGGACGAAAGUCUGACCGAGCAACGCCGCGUGAGUGAAGAAGGUUUUCGGAUCGUAAAACUCUGUUGGUAGAGAAGAACGUUGGUGAGAGUGGAAAGCUCAUCAAGUGACGGUAACUACCCAGAAAGGGACGGCUAACUACGUG